UACGAAGGGGCUAGCGUUGCUCGGAAUUACUGGGCGUAAAGCGCACGUAGGCGGAUUGUUAAGUCGGGGGUGAAAUCCUGGAGCUCAACUCCAGAACUGCCUUCGAUACUGGCGAUCUCGAGUUCGGGAGAGGUGAGUGGAACUGCGAGUGUAGAGGUGAAAUUCGUAGGAUAUUCGCAAGAACACCAGUGGCGAAGGCGGCUCACUGGCCCGGUACUGACGCUGGAGGUGACGAAAGCGUGGGGAGCAAACAGG
rnacentral:rRNA from 1 species